GAACCGUGGCAGUCGAGCGAACUGAUUAGAAGCUUGCUUCUAUGACGUUAGCGGCGGACGGGUGAGUAACACGUGGGCAACCUGCCUGUAAGACUGGGAUAACUUCGGGAAACCGAAGCUAAUACCGGAUAGGAUCUUCUCCUUCAUGGGAGAUGAUUGAAAGAUGGUUUCGGCUAUCACUUACAGAUGGGCCCGCGGUGCAUUAGCUAGUUGGUGAGGUAACGGCUCACCAAGGCAACGAUGCAUAGCCGACCUGAGAGGGUGAUCGGCCACACUGGGACUGAGACACGGCCCAGACUCCUACGGGAGGCAGCAGUAGGGAAUCUUCCGCAAUGGACGAAAGUCUGACGGAGCAACGCCGCGUGAGUGAUGAAGGCUUUCGGGUCGUAAAACUCUGUUGUUAGGGAAGAACAAGUACGAGAGUAACUGCUCGUACCUUGACGGUACCUAACCAGAAAGCCACGGCUAACUACGUGCCAGCAGCCGCGGUAAUACGUAGGUGGCAAGCGUUAUCCGGAAUUAUUGGGCGUAAAGCGCGCGCAGGCGGUUUCUUAAGUCUGAUGUGAAAGCCCACGGCUCAACCGUGGAGGGUCAUUGGAAACUGGGGAACUUGAGUGCAGAAGAGAAAAGCGGAAUUCCACGUGUAGCGGUGAAAUGCGUAGAGAUGUGGAGGAACACCAGUGGCGAAGCGGCUUUUUGGUCUGUAACUGACGCUGAGGCGCGAAAGCGUGGGGAGCAAACAGGAUUAGAUACCCUGGUAGUCCACGCCGUAACGAUGAGUGCUAAGUGUUAGAGGGUUUCCGCCCUUUAGUGCUGCAGCUAACGCAUAGCACUCGCCUGGGGAGUACGGUCGCAGACUGAACUCAAGGAUUGACGGGGCCCGCACAGCGUGGAGCAUGUGUUUAUCGAGCACGCGAGACUACAGUCUGACAUCGUCUGACACUCUGAGAUGAGCGUCCCUCGGGGACGAAUGACAGUGGUGCAUGCUGUCGUCAGCUCGUGUCUGGAAUGUGGGUUAAGUCCGCAACGAGCCAAGUGACUUAGUGCCAGCAUAGCGCACUCUAGGUACUGCGUACACGAGAGUGGAUGACUCAAUCCUAGCUAGACUGCUACGUUCCAAUGAUGUCCAAGCUA
rnacentral:rRNA from 1 species